rnacentral:lncRNA from 1 species
UCGGGUCCACUCUGGGGGCGCCCAGUGCUACAACCGGAAACGCGGCUGGAGGCCAGUGGAUGCUUGAUGGAGCAGUUCGCGCCGUGGUGCGCGCGCGCCAGGGCUUAGGCUCCAAGUAAAGGCCUUCUUCAUCCAUCCACCCACAACCAGGAUGGCAAAGUACCCGUGGAGACACUGAUGAAAACUAUGGACUUUCUCCAGAAAAAUACACCCAAAAUACAAUUUUGAGACCAGCAUCCAGGCUCUGAAGACCUGUGACAGCCAUCCAUGGAGUCAUGUUAAGAACCUCCACUCCAACUAACCCAAAGCUCACAGCCCUGGAGGAGAAGAAGCCUGUUUGGGGAAUUCUACCUUGGCUCCAUGUCUCUGAAGAGGCUUGUCCCAGGGAAUAUAAUGGGAUCCUCGCUCACACACAACCCAACAGCCGACCCACAAUGGCACACCUCCCAGUUAUUGCCUUAGUCCGGCAAACCCCUGGCUAAGCAUCCACAGCCGAGCUGAGGGCAGUGAGAAAAGUUCAAGUCGCCAGCUGAAGUGGUCUUUAACACCCCCCCCCCGGCCUUCUCAGCCUCACUGUUUAUCCAUAUGAAGCGCUCUCCUUCCCGGCCCACUUCCACCCCCACCUUUCUGAGAUCGGCUAUAAAAAUAAACUAUUUUUCCUUGUUAA